GACGAACGCUGGCGGCGUGCUUAACACAUGCAAGUCGAACGGAAAGGCCCCUUUGGGGGUCCUCGAGUGGCGAACGGGUGAGUAACACGUGAGUAACCUGCCCUUGACUUCGGGAUAACUUCAGGAAACUGGGGCUAAUACCGGAUAGGAAUCCUUGCUGCAUGGUGGGGGUUGGAAAGCUUCGGCGGUUUUGGAUGGACUCGCGGCUUAUCAGCUUGUUGGUGGGGUAGUGGCUUACCAAGGCUUUGACGGGUAGCCGGCCUGAGAGGGCGACCGGCCACAUUGGGACUGAGAUACGGCCCAGACUCCUACGGGAGGCAGCAGUGGGGAAUAUUGCACAAUGGGCGGAAGCCUGAUGCAGCAACGCCGCGUGCGGGAGGACGGCCUUCGGGUUGGAAACCGCUUUCAGCAGGGGCGAAGCUUGUGGUGACGGUACCUGCAGAAGAAGCACCGGCUAACUACGUG
rnacentral:rRNA from 1 species